GAUGAAGAACGCAGCAAAAUGCGAUAAGUAAUGUGAAUUGCAGAAUUCAGUGAAUCAUCGAAUCUUUGAACGCACAUUGCGCCCGCUGGUAUUCCGGCGGGCAUGCCUGUUCGAGCGUCAUUUCAACCCUCAAGCCCCCGGGUUUGGUGUUGGGGAUCGGCUCUGCCCUUCUGGGCGGUGCCGCCCCCGAAAUACAUUGGCGGUCUCGCUGCAGCCUCCAUUGCGUAGUAGCUAACACCUCGCAACUGGAACGCGGCGCGGCAAUGCCGUAAAACCCCAACUUCUGAAUGUUGACCUCGGAUCAGGUAGGAAUACCCGCUGAACUUAAGCAUAUCAAUAAGCGGAGA
rnacentral:misc_RNA from 1 species